AUUGAACGCUGGCGGCAUGGCUAAACAUGCAAGUCGAGCGCGAAAGUGGAGCAAUCCAUGAGUAGAGCGGCGAAAGGGUGAGUAAUGCGUUCCUACGUACCUCGAGGUCGGGAUAGCCAGGGGAAACUCUGGGUAAUACCCGAUGUGAUCGAGAGAUCAAAGGCUUGCCGGCCUUGAGAGCGGGGAACGGUCCUAUCAGGUAGUUGGUGAGGUAACGGCUCACCAAGCCAUUGACGGUAGCGGUGUGAGAGCAUGCCCGCCACAUCGAAACUGAGACACUGUUCGGACUCCUACGGGAGGCUGCAGUAACGAAUCUUCCGCAAUGCGCGAAAGCGUGACGGAGCAA
rnacentral:rRNA from 1 species